ACCAAACCCAGUGCUCUAAAGUGGUCUAUACUGACGAAACAUCACAUAACAAUGCCAAUUCUUACUACUAGUCCAAGCUCUAAGGUGAGCAUGAAAUGCAAUUUUGCAGCUGUAGAUGAGGGGGCGAGGGGUAAGAGAGAGAGAUUGGA